rnacentral:rRNA from 1 species
GCAAGUCGAACGGUAACAUAAAGAAGCUUGCUUCUUUGAUGACGAGUGCCGUACGGGUGAGUAAUGCUUGGGAAUCUAGCUUAUGGAGGGGGAUAACUACGGGAAACUGUAGCUAAUACCGCGUAGAAUCGAGAGAUGAGAGUGUGGGACCUUCGGGCCACAUGCCAUAGGAUGAGCCCAAGUGGGAUUAGGUAGUUGGUGAGGUAAAGGCUCACCAAGCCGACGAUCUCUAGCUGGUCUGAGAGGAUGACCAGCCACACUGGGACUGAGACACGGCCCAGACUCCUACGGGAGGCAGCAGUGGGGAAUAUUGUGCAAUGGGGGCAACCCUGACGCAGCCAUGCCGCGUGAAUGAAGGAGGCCUUCGGGUUGUAAAGUUCUUUCGGUAGCGAGGAAGGCAUUUAGUUUAAUAAACUAGGUGAUUGACGUUAACUACAGAAGAAGCACCGGCUAACUCCGUGCCAGCAGCCGCGGUAAUACGGAGGGUGCGAGCGUUAAUCGGAAUAACUGGGCGUAAAGGGCACGCAGGCGGUGACUUAAGUGAGGUGUGAAAGCCCCGGGCUUAACCUGGGAAUUGCAUUUCAUACUGGGUCGCUAGAGUACUUUAGGGAGGGGUAGAAUUCCACGUGUAGCGGUGAAAUGCGUAGAGAUGUGGAGGAAUACCGAAGGCGAAGGCAGCCCCUUGGGAAUGUACUGACGCUCAUGUGCGAAAGCGUGGGGAGCAAACAGGAUUGGAUACCCUGGUAGUCCACGCUGUAAACGAUGUCGAUUUGGGGGUUGAGCUUU